rnacentral:rRNA from 1 species
AUGAAGGGGCGGUUGGGAGCUCUGAAAGGUUCUACGGCUGCUUGUGCAGAGAGCCCCUCUACACCCAAGAAUCCCAUUGUGGAAUUGAUAGACAGCGAUGAUGAUGCGUUUGACAAGAUUGCUGGCAUGGGAAGAGUCACCAGGAGCGCUGCUGCAAAGGGUUUAUCUCCCCUUGCUGGAAUAGUGGCCCGUAGAGCUGGUGCUGCUAGGAAGGACCCUGCUUUGGAUUCUGGCAAUGUUACAAGCACGAAGCAUGCGCCCAGAGCUCCUAUGAAGUUUUGCUCCCCUGUGCAGCAGCUUCAACUUCAUAAAUUCCCUCAUCUAGACAAGGCUCACAAGUUGUAUAAUCUGUUGCUUAGUUAUGAAGCAUGUGAGAAGUAUGCCGAGAAUACAUUCUCAAUGAUACCUCAGCCUGAUGAUAGCGUAACUAGCUUCACUGGGAAACGCAUCUGCGAAGUUUUUGCACCUAGGCAAAUGAUGGAGGGUGAUGUAAUGGACUUCCUCAUUGAUGAUUGGAAGAAAGAUCCCGAGAGAAAUGCUGAUUUUGCGUCUAGAAAAAGGGUAUUGCUGAGUCCAUAUUUCAUCACGGUUGUGCUUGACUGUAUGUUUUACGGUGAUGAAAAUAAUGCAGCGAGAGAUUUCAAGAGCUAUGUUAAAGAUAAGGAAGACUUGCUCAGUGCCGACCUUAUCUCUAGAUUGGUCCAAGUAAUGAAGGCUGUGUAUGGUGAUGCUUAG